GCAUAUCAAUAAGCGGAGGAAAAGAAACUAACAAGGAUUCCCCUAGUAACUGCGAGUGAAGCGGGAAAAGCUCAAAUUUAAAAUCUGGCAGUCUCUGGCUGUCCGAGUUGUAAUCUAGAGAAGUGAUGCCCGCGCUGGACCGUGUACAAGUCUCCUGGAAUGGAGCGUCAUAGAGGGUGAGAAUCCCGUCUCUGACACGGACUACCAGGGCUUUGUGGUACGCUCUCAAAGAGUCGAGUUGUUUGGGAAUGCAGCUCAAAAUGGGUGGUAAAUUCCAUCUAAAGCUAAAUAUUGGCGAGAGACCGAUAGCGAACAAGUACCGUGAGGGAAAGAUGAAAAGAACUUUGGAAAGAGAGUUAAACAGUACGUGAAAUUGCUGAAAGGGAAACGCUUGAAGUCAGUCGCGUUAGCUGGGGAUCAGCCUCGCAUUUUGCGUGGUGUACUUCCCAGUUGACGGGUCAGCAUCAAUUUUGACUGCUGGAAAAAGGCUUGGGGAAUGUAGCAGCUUCGGCUGUGUUAUAGCCUCAGGUUGUAUACAGCGGUUGGGAUUGAGGAACUCAGCACGCCGCAAGGCCGGGUUUCGACCACGUUCGUGCUUAGGAUGCUGGCAUAAUGGCUUUAAGCGACCCGUCUUGAAACACGGACCAAGGAGUCUAACAUGCCUGC
rnacentral:rRNA from 1 species